AGGGGCACCUGCUCUGAAAUCUUGCUGAUUUGGACUUAACGUCCACUGGAAUCUUUCCCCCAAAAGCCUGAACCAACAGUUAACUGAAAUAAAGCUGAACCCCAUCCCCAGCACAGGUCUCAGUGACCUGCAUCAGUGAAACAGCCGGUUUGCAAUGAACGGGGAAAGAGAGCAGCACACUUUCUGCAAAGUUGCAAACCACAAAUAAUCGAGACUUACGGGAAAAAUCGGAUGGAGGAAUGUGAUUCAAAGCAUGCAACUCUGCAACCACAGCACUAACAAAGUGGUCACGAUGUGAGGAGCAUUCUUCUGCCAGACCCUUCCAUCAUCCCUUCCUGCAUUGGAGCUGGCUGCUACAGACUACAAAUUGGCCAGCACAGCUCAGAGCCUGGGAGCUACGCACCAGCCUGGAGGGUGUCUGCUCACACACCGUCAACACCACCACCAGCUCCUUCCCCGAGAACUUCACCACCACCACCAGCAGCUUAACUUGACUGACUGAGAGUUCCUCUUCUUCCUUUUUCCUUUUGCCCUUCUGCCUGUUCUUGUUACCAUCACGUGAUCGUCAAUAAAUGUAGCUUUUUAACU